rnacentral:lncRNA from 1 species
AUGGGUCUCACUCUGUCACCCAGACUGGAGUGCAGUGAGUGGUGCGAUCAUAGCUUACUGCAGCCUGAAACUCCUGGGCUCAAGUGAUCUUCUCGCCUCAGCCUCCUGAGUAGCUGGAGCUACAGGUUUUUAAGCACAAGCCCAGCCUGCUUUCUGGAUGACACCUGCCACAGGUCAUCCUUCCUGAAUUUCCUAAAUAGCCCAGAAUAUUCUUCAAGCAUGCCCCUGGCUCAUCAUCCAACUUCAGAGAAUCAACUGGCUAGCACCUUGGAGCACCUGCUGUGGUAACGUGAGUGGCUGAACACCAGACAAAAGGAGGCUCCCAAUCACUGUUGCAGAUCUUGUUAAAAUCCUGGCUCUAUCCUCAGCUUAGGUGUAUUCUUCUUGUACUAGGAUAAAGCCUCUCUGACCUCUUCAUUAAGGCCUAAGUAUAC